rnacentral:rRNA from 1 species
CUACGGGCCGCAGCAGUGAGGAAUAUUGCGCAAUGGGGGAAACCCUGACGCAGCGACGCCGCGUGGAUGAUGAAGGCCUUCGGGUAGUAAAAUCCUGUCAGAAGGAAAGAAGUGUAUGGUAGCUAAUAUCUGCCAUACUUGACGGUACCUUCAAAGGAAGCACCGGCUAACUCCGUGCCAGCAGCCGCGGUAAUACGGAGGGUGCAAGCGUUGUUCGGAAUUACUGGGCGUAAAGCGCGCGUAGGCGGUUUUAUAAGUCAGAUGUGAAAGUCCACGGCUCAACCAUGGAAGUGCAUUUGAAACUGUAAGACUUGAGUAUUGGAGGGGGUAGUGGAAUUCCCGGUGUAGAGGUGAAAUUCGUAGAUAUCGGGAGGAAUACCGGUGGCGAAGGCGACUAUCUGGCCAAAUACUGACGCUGAGGUGCGAAAGCGUGGGGAGCAAACAGGAUUAGAUACCCCUGUAGUC